UGCUUCAUUUAUAAAGUCUUCUUGCAUACGACUUAAUGAAGCCGAGAUACUGUUCAACAAUUGUGAGGUCUUACCUGGUUGGUCAUUUCCUUAACCAAGGAUCAAGGACAAAAGGCCAGACAGCUCUGUGGAAACAACACCAGGAUUUCAGUGAGGGGGUGUCAUCAGGAUAGAAGGCACACAGGAAGUUCCCCUUGACCAAGAAAAUAAGGCAACUCUUUAUUAUGAAGUUGUUCUGACACCCUUCUAUGGAUCAGUCCCUGGAACCUCCUUCGCACUCCCUACCAGGUGGUAUGGUCUUCUUUCUUCCUCUGAACCUAGGGACUCAACUAACAGCUAAUUCUAUCCCAUGGUUUCUUCACCUCAAGUGUGACUGCAGAGAGCGACCAGUCUCUGUCCUUUCCUGCUCUUUAGAGAGAAAAAAACCACAGCUCCUUUUAAUAUUAAAU
ensembl:lncRNA novel transcript, antisense to WDR61